rnacentral:rRNA from 1 species
CUGCGAAAGCCGGAUUAAUACCGCAUACGCUCUAUGGAGGAAAGCGGGGGACUCGCAAGGGCCUCGCGCUCAAGGGGCGGCCGAUGGCGGAUUAGCUAGUUGGUGGGGUAAAGGCCUACCAAGGCGACGAUCCGUAGCUGGUCUGAGAGGACGACCAGCCACACUGGGACUGAGACACGGCCCAGACUCCUACGGGAGGCAGCAGUGGGGAAUUUUGGACAAUGGGGGCAACCCUGAUCCAGCAAUGCCGCGUGUGUGAAGAAGGCCUUCGGGUUGUAAAGCACUUUUGUCCGGAAAGAAAACCUGCCUGUUAAUACCGGGUGGGGAUGACGGUACCGGAAGAAUAAGCACCGGCUAACUACGUGCCAGCAGCCGCGGUAAUACGUAGGGUGCGAGCGUUAACCGGAAUUACUGGGCGUAAAGCGUGCGCAGGCGGUUUGCUAAGACCGAUGUGAAAUCCCCGGGCUUAACCUGGGAACUGCAUUGGUGACUGGCAAGCUAGAGUAUGGCA